ensembl:Y_RNA Y_RNA Y RNA
GGCUGAGCCCAGUGCAGUAGUGUUUAUAACCAGUUUCAGAUUUCUUUGUUUCUUCUCUUCUCUCACUGUUUCACUUGACUAGCCUUUA